rnacentral:rRNA from 1 species
UCGCGGAGGACCGAACCGCAUGACCGUUGAAAAGGUCUGGGAUGAGCUGUGGGUAGCGGAGAAAUUCCAAUCGAACCCGGAGAUAGCUGGUUCUCCCCGAAAUAGCUUUAGGGCUAGCCUCAGGGAAAAAUCUUACGGAGGUAAAGCACUGAAUGGGCUAGGGGCCUUACCGGGUUACCGAACCCUAUCAAACUCAGAAUGCCGUAAAGAUGUUACCUGGGAGUCAGACAGCGUGAGAUAAGUUUCGUUGUCAAAAGGGAAACAGCCCAGACCAUCAGCUAAGGUCCCAAAAUUGCAGUUAAGUGGAAAAGGAUGUGGGUUUGCUAAGACAACUAGGAUGUUGGCUUAGAAGCAGCCACUCAUUCAAAGAGUGCGUAAUAGCUCACUAGUCGAGUGAGCCUGCGCCGAAAAUUUUCGGGGCUCAAAUCGUGUACCGAAGCUAUGGAUUCAGAAGUCGGAGACCAGAGGUCAGAAACCAGAAAAAGAGGUAUGAAAAAGAUAACCUCAUAUGAAGAUUUGUAAAUAUAUCAACAGAAAUGAAGGUUCUAGUGAGUAUAAGUAGGGACUUGGGAUAUAUAAGCAAUGAGACAUAUGAAAGGAUAGCUGAAAGCUAUACCGGGUUAGGCAAGAGAAUAAAUACCUUGAUAAAAAACUGGAAACAAUUCUGACAUCUGGCUUCUGGUAUCCGACUUCUGUGUGGUAGGGGAGCUUACUGUAGUAGGUAGAAGGUCGAUCGUAAGGACGGCUGGACGAGGCAGUAGUGAGAAUGCCGGAAUAAGUAGCGAGAGUAGAGUGAGAAUCUUUACCGUCGAAAACCUAAGGUUUCCUGGGGAAGGUUCGUCCGCCCAGGGUAAGUCGGGUCCUAAGGCGAGGCCGAGAGGCGUAGUCGAUGGGCAACAGGUUGAUAUUCCUGUACUACCGUUACUCGUUUGAGAGAGGUGGGGACGCAGGGGGAUAAGUUAAGCGAGCAGCUGGAAGAGCUCGUCCAAGAGAGGUAGAUAGUCUGGUAGGCAAAUCCGCCGGACGUUUCGAAGGCUUGAUGGGGAGGGAAAUUAGAGUACCGAAGUAACUGAUUCCGCACUGACGAGAAAAGCCACUAUCGAGAGUAAAGGUACCCGUACCGCAAACCGACACAGGUAGGUGAGGAGAGAAUCCUAAGACGAACGGGAGAAGCAUUGUUAAGGAACUCGGCAAAUUAACCCCGUAAGUUCGCGAGAAGGGGAGCCUCAGAGAUGAGGCCGCAGUGAAAAGGCCCGAGCAACUGUUUAUCAAAAACACAGGUCUCUGCUAAAUCGAAAGAUGACGUAUAGGGGCUGACGCCUGCCCGGUGCUGGAAGGUUACGGGGAUUUGUAAGCCGCAAGGCGAAGCAAUGAACUUAAGCCCCAGUAAACGGCGGCCGUAACUAUAACGGUCCUAAGGUAGCGAAAUUCCUUGUCAGGUAAGUUC